rnacentral:rRNA from 1 species
CCCGACUCCGUGAAGCUGGAUUCGCUAGUAAUCGCGCAUCAGCCAUGGCGCGGUGAAUACGUUCCCGGGCCUUGUACACACCGCCCGUCAAGCCAUGGGAGCCGGGGGUACCUGAAGUCCGUAACCGCGAGGAUCGGCCUAGGGUAAAACUGGUGACUGGGGCUAAGUCGUAACAAGGUACC